rnacentral:rRNA from 1 species
CCAAUAGCGUAUAUUAAAGUUGUUGCAGUUAAAAAGCUCGUAGUUGAAUUUUGGAUUCUUCCAAUUGGUCCAUCUUUUAGAUGAGUACUGGUUGUGUGGGGUCUAUCCGCCUGGUGAUACGUAAUGUCCUUUAUUGGAUGUUGCGAGUAGUCAGGACCUUUACCUUGAAAAAAUUAGAGUGUUUAAAGCAGGCUUAUGCCGGAAUACAUUAGCAUGGAAUAAUAGAAUAGGACGAAGUUGUUUUAUUUUGUUUGUUUCUAGGACAACCGUAAUGAUUAAUAGGGAUAGUUGGGGGCAUUAGUAUUCAAUUGUCAGAGGUGAAAUUCUUGGAUUUAUUGAAGACUAACUACUGCGAAAGCAUUUGCCAAGGAUGUUUUCAUUAAUCAAGAACGAAAGUUAGGGGAUCGAAGACGAUCAGAUACCGUCGUAGUCUUAACCAUAAACUAUGCCGACUAGGGAUCGGGCGAUGUUGUUUCCAUGACUCGCUCGGCACCUUAUG